CGAAUCCGCGAGGAGGAGCGAAUCACAAAACUCGGUCCCAGUUCAGAUUGCAGGCUGCAACUCGCCUGCAUGAAGUUGGAAUCGCUAGUAAUCGCGAAUCAGAAUGUCGCGGUGAAUACGUUCCCGGGUCUUGUACACACCGCCCGUCACACCACGAGAGUUUACAACACCCGAAGUCAGUGGCCUAACCGCAAGGAGGGAGCUGCCUAAGGUGGGGUAGAUGAUUGGGGUGAAGUCGUAACAAGGUAUC
rnacentral:rRNA from 1 species